GAUCCUUAGCGAAGCUUGCUUUGCUAAGUCUAGUGGCGAACGGGUGAGUAACACGUGAGCAACCUGCCCAGAAGCAGGGGAUAAGCCACCGAAAGGUGGUCUAAUACCGUAUGUGAUUCCAAGGGGCAUCUCUUGGACAUUAAAGGGGGGGAUCUUCGGACCUCUCACUUCUGGAUGGGCUCGCGGCCUAUCAGCUUGUUGGUGAGGUAACGGCUCACCAAGGCAACGACGGGUAACUGGUCUGAGAGGAUGAUCAGUCACACUGGAACUGAGACACGGUCCAGACACCUACGGGUGGCAGCAGUCGAGAAUCAUUCACAAUGGGCGAAAGCCUGAUGGUGCGACGCCGCGUGGAGGAUGACAGCCCUAGGGUUGUAAACUCCUGUCAUGAGAGAGUAAAGACUUAACGUUAAUACCGUUGGGUCCUGAUAGUAUCUCAAGAGGAAGGGACGGCUAACUUCGUGCCAGCAGCCGCGGUAAUACGAAGGUCCCAAGCGUUGUUCGGAAUUACUGGGCGUAAAGCGUGCGUAGGCGGCAUGGUAAGUCAGAUGUGAAAUCCCGGGGCUCAACCUCGGAACUGCAUCCGAUACUGCCAAGCUAGAGUAGUGGAGGGGAGUCUGGAAUUCACGGUGUAGCAGUGAAAUGCGUAGAUAUCGUGAGGAAUACUAGUGGCGAAGGCGAGACUCUGG
rnacentral:rRNA from 1 species